rnacentral:lncRNA from 1 species
GUUUUAAGCCCUUCCAUUGUGUAAAACUUUUGGAGACAGGAUGACCAGGUGAAGUUGCAUCUCUGGUUUAUGGACAACUGUAUCUCUCUGGCACCAUUUGCCUACUGCCACACAGUGUGCCCUGCCAAUAGCCUAGCAUCUGGCACAAAAUAUUAUUGUGUUGUCCUCAAAGGCCAAAUGGUAGCCAGCUCCUCUUCCUGCAGUAAUUUACAGAGCUGUAGGCAGGUGUACAUCUGAAGAAAUAUCACAUCGUUCCUUGAUAGAAGAAAAGUGGAGCCUUUCUUCCCAGCAGGUUUUCAGCUUGAGCUUCAGUGGAGAAAGGUCUGAUGUUGCCUGCAAUCAGCUCAGGCAGAAGUUUCUGAAGGAAAGAGGAAAGAAAGAGCAGAGGGGAGGAACACAGGCCUGAUGUAGUGAUUGAACAAUAGCUCUGCUGUAUCUUGCCUUUAUACAACCAAGAAAGAACUUUGUGAAUACACUGAGAAGUGAAACAUUUCAACACAAGAGCCCAGGGAACUCCCCUCAGCACUAGCCUGCAUGCUGUGGUUAGGUGGCAGAGUUUGAACAGAAAAGUCCCAUUCAUCUCUAUUGGACAUUAAUUGCGUGCUGUAUAAAGAUAGCUGGAGACUGAUAGGACCAACUGAGACUAAUAAAAGCUGGAGAAAAAGAGGUGUGCUGAUAAGAACAACUAGCAGAAGGCCAUCCUAGCAGCUUUGCACCAUCUACAGCACCUACAUUACUAGAUACAGCUGGAGAUAUAGAGAUAACUGCCAGAGAAUGGGAAAAGCAGAAAAUUAGCCCAGACAGCCCCAGUGAUGUGGUUGGGCUGUUUCCCACACCUCAGAGUGCAUCUUCACAAUGGCACUGCAGCGUUCCUGCAGUUUUACGGAAAGCUGCUCACACGUGUCCACAUUGGUUCCUUCUGUCCUGCUGCUUGCAAUGGGGCUUGGGGAAGUCGGAAAGAGCACUGGCUCCUUCUGCACCUGCCCUCAGUCCAUCAGUGAUGGAUCGCUGCCUGUCUACUGAGUUAAACAACAGUUUUACUGCUUUAGAACUUGCAAGUGAAAAAUACUUCCCAACUGCUCUGACCAGGGAUGAGAAGUUGGUGUGGUGUGCUUGGGAGGCUCAGCAUACCAUGAAGCUUCAGACAUGUUUUGGGGCCGUUGUUUCUCCCUGUCUUCGCUUACGAGCUGAAGGAAAAGAUUCUAGCUCUUAAGUGCUUGUUAGAGACACCUUUACAAACAAGGUGAUUUUUACUCUGAGGAUCCAGCAAUAGAUGCAGGGACACAGCACAGAAGGCCUGAUCCUCCCACACAUCCUUCUAAAUCCUGUGGGAUUCAAGCAGGUUGGGCAGCAGGCCAGGAUACCUUCUUAUUGAGUUGUCUAAGGUCGAGAUGGAAAUCAUUGGCUAAAUCAGAAGGAGAACUUGGGUACGCACAGCUCAUGUCACACAGAAACUCUGCAAGAUGCUGAGGCCCUCUUAGGGUCAAGCAGUUCACAAAGUGCAGUAUCUCUCUGCACCAUAUAUAUGCAUGUGUCAUGCCAAAUUUGAUGUGUUGUUGAGGAUGUUAUGAACAGUGUAUUGCAUUAAAGAAAGGCUUAAAUUUCUGCAGUCUCAAGGGAAACAGUGUUAUGAUCCACUCAAAAAGAUUAAAUAGCUUUCAUUCAAGACUUUCCCAAUCUAGAGAUCAUAUUUGUUAUUUGUGUAUAUUUUUACACAUAUUUACAGUGUUUGAAAUUGAAGAUGAUAUGCAGGAAGAGGGCUGACAGAUUUUUUCUGAUGUGCACAUUUAUAAAGGUGACUAUAAUUUUUCUUUCAUAGGCCCUCCUGAUACAGUCACCACUUAGGGACUGUGAUUUUGCCUUGUCUAUGUCAGUGUACAGUGCUUCUUGAUAGAUAUGGCUUCCACUUAUUUAUCAAUUUCUUCUCUUGGAAAAGUAGGGUUGAUACUACAGUCAAGAAAAAAUGAAGACAAUAUAGCAUGUGGCCAUCUUAGUAGGAGUUUUAGUAUUGCAUUCAGUGAUUUGACUUUAGUUGGUUAUUUUAAAGUUAGUUAGGUUUUAUAUGCUAUACAUCAAAAAAAUCCUUUCCCAAAACCUAAAUCAUAAUAAUAAUUAAAAAAAAAAAAAAACUUUUUGUGUAAAUGCUGGAUAUAAAUUAGACCAUGACUUUAUAUUCCUGUGACCAAUCAUACACUGGAGGAAAUAAUUCACUGGAAUUAGGUUACUCUCUUAUGCCAGUUUGUCUUCUUUUUACUGAAAAAAAAAAUCAUCUGCAGAUAAGCUGGUGGUGAAAAGAGAAUACCAUCAGUACAGGGAAAUUGCCUGAGCUGCGCUAAUCUGCUUUGGCUAAGGGGGACUGUCCAGCAGGCUGUUUGUUAUGUGGAUGUUUACAGUCUCAACAAGUGCUUUCUAUGAAAAGUUACUACUGCAAAUCCAAUGGAUGUGGCUUCCACCUUAAAAUGAUGGUCUGCAAGUUCUUUGAAGUGCUUUUCCACAUCAGAUUUCAAAAUGAGGCUGAAGGUCUUCUGCUCUGCACAGGCUUUCUCUGCUGGUUAAUCACUGCUAAUCACACCGAAACAUAGCUCGUGUCACGAGCAUUCAUUUCACUUUGUGAAAUCCUGGACAUGUGAGCACAGACUUUGAUGGUGUGCAGUGUCCCUGCACUAAUUGCAAGGGAAUUCCAGGAGUAAAUUUAAUUUGUUCCUUAGCUAUGAUCAUACACAGCUGUCAUAGUUCUGCACCUGUAUAAUCUGCUGUCAAGAGCCAAAUUCUACAAGUUUCGGCUUUUUGCAGCUCUGGAUUUGGGGGCUUCAUUGCUAGCCAUUAGAUUUAUUUAACCCUUAGUAGCUAUUAAAUUUACUCAACCUUGUCAGUGUGGAAAUGUGCAACGUUUUCAGAAACACAAAUUGUUGUGAGCACUGGGGAGGACAGACUGAGAAGCAGCUCACCCAGGUGAAAAGUAUCUAAACUGUAUCAUUUCAUUUGUUGUCAUGUCAUCAAAGUGCACGAGAGUGUUAAGCGAUACGAUUGAAUCACACUGAUGUGACAUGCAGAGUGCAUUGUGUUUUGAGUCUGUUUGGCUGGCUGGCAGUGGGAGUCCUGGAGCAGCGAUGGCUUGUUGGCACGGGGCUGCACUUACCAGCAUACUGACUGCUGACGUGUCCCUUCUGCACAGAGAUUUUGGGCAGGAAAAUACGAAAUAUAUCAUUCAAAAGGGCUGAACUUAAGAAUGACUUGACUUGUUUCCUUCUCUGAAUAAGGCACAAAUCUUUUGUCCCAAGGCUGUGGAUAACCAGAGUGGGACAGACAGUGACUCCUAGGAAUCUGCAUCAAUAUGAAAAAGAAAAGGCAGGGCAGGAGAUUUACCAUGCCCCAGAUAUACCAUUCCUGCACCCAGAAGGUUGACACAGCCUCAUUCUCUGAUAGGUUAAGCCAGUUCUCUGGCCUGUAAACUUGUCUGUGUCAUGAGUUGUCCUGUGUUUACUUUUCUUGAUGUUUCUGCAAGGUGCAGUUCAAACAGUGAUAAAGUAAAAUAAAAUAGAGAACUGGACUCA